AUCCAGAUGACGGGUCCCAAAUACGACGAAAUGCGCAUUCUGGAU
rnacentral:hammerhead_ribozyme from 1 species